UACGUAGGGGGCUAGCGUUGUCCGGAAUCAUUGGGCGUAAAGCGCGCGUAGGCGGCCCGGUAAGUCCGCUGUGAAAGUCCAGGGCUCAACCCUGGAAAGCCGGUGGAUACUGCCGGGCUAGAGUCCGGGAGAGGCGAGUGGAAUUCCGAGUGUAGAGGUGAAAUUCGUAGAUAUUCGGAAGAACACCAGUGGCGAAGGCGGCUCACUGGACCGGUAUUGACGCUGAGGUGCGAAAGCGUGGGGAGCAAACAGG
rnacentral:rRNA from 1 species